AGGGCUAUAGCUCAGCGGUAGAGCGCCUCGUUUACAC
rnacentral:tRNA from 8 species